CACCCACAUCUUCCCCGCCACCCACGUAGAAGACCUGGAUGGAGUUCUGCUCCCCUGGCUUUGGCCUGCCCCACCCUCCACUGUGGCAGUUCCAGCCACCACUUCUCCAGGAACCCCAGUUCUACAGCCCCCCGGAGGCAGAGGCCGCAGAUGGAGGCCAGCAGUGGAGACUGGUUUCUUGUGGGAGGGACUUGAACCAAGCCUCCGAGGACCUGGCCAGCUCGGCUGAAGGUCCUGGAUGUGGCAGGUGCAUCCUGGCAGAGGGAGCAUUUUGAUGGACAGG